GAAUAAGCGCGACGGACCCUGGGGCAGUACCCGGCGCCUCCACCAAUCCCUCCCGAUUCGGCCGAUCUUCGUGGAUUUGAGGGGACCUUUUGGGGGCGAAACAGGAUCGACGUGCGUGGUAAAGAUGGGUUUGGUUCCCGGCAUGGUACCGCCGUUAUCGGGCCAUACUAUAGUUGCGAACGACAACUACAGUGAGGCACGCCUCGCCGCUUAAUAGCGGUCGGGUUAGCCGACUUAAGCCCUAGGCCUUCACACGCCUAGGCGGGGUUCGGGGCGCACCUGGCAACAGAAGCGCCCCACC
rnacentral:tmRNA from 1 species